CGGCAGCGCGGGAGCAAUCCUGGCGGCGAGUGGCGAACGGGUGAGUAAUACAUCGGAACGUGCCCAAUCGUGGGGGAUAACGCAGCGAAAGCUGUGCUAAUACCGCAUACGAUCUACGGAUGAAAGCAGGGGAUCGCAAGACCUUGCGCGAAUGGAGCGGCCGAUGGCAGAUUAGGUAGUUGGUGAGGUAAAGGCUCACCAAGCCUUCGAUCUGUAGCUGGUCUGAGAGGACGACCAGCCACACUGGGACUGAGACACGGCCCAGACUCCUACGGGAGGCAGCAGUGGGGAAUUUUGGACAAUGGGCGAAAGCCUGAUCCAGCCAUGCCGCGUGCAGGAUGAAGGCCUUCGGGUUGUAAACUGCUUUUGUACGGAACGAAACGGCCUUUUCUAAUAAAGAGGGCUAAUGACGGUACCGUAAGAAUAAGCACCGGCUAACUACGUGCCAGCAGCCGCGGU
rnacentral:rRNA from 1 species